AUUGAACGCUGGCGGCAGGCCUAACACAUGCAAGUCGAACGGUAACAGGAAGAAGCUUGCUUCUUUGCUGACGAGUGGCGGGCGGGUGAGUAAUGUCUGGGGAACUGCCUGAUGGAGGGGGAUAACUACUGGAAACGGUAGCUAAUACCGCAUAACGUCGCAAGACCAAAGAGGGGGACCUUCGGGCCUCUUGCCAUCGGAUGUGCCCAGAUGGGAUUAGCUAGUAGGUGGGGUAACGGCUCACCUAGGCGACGAUCCCUAGCUGGUCUGAGAGGAUGACCAGCCACACUGGAACUGAGACACGGUCCAGACUCCUACGGGAGGCAGCAGUGGGGAAUAUUGCACAAUGGGCGCAAGCCUGAUGCAGCCAUGCCGCGUGUAUGAAGAAGGCCUUCGGGUGGUAAAGUACUUUCAGCGGGGAGGAAGGGAGUAAAGUUAAUACCUUUGCUCAUUGACGUUACCCGCAGAAGAAGCACCGGCUAACUCCGUG
rnacentral:rRNA from 1 species